rnacentral:lncRNA from 1 species
GAAUAAGAAAGAAGAGAACAAAGAAGAGACAAAGAAGUUGCCUUAGGUGUACCCACCCAGAAAAGGACAAAGGCAUUCUUGUAGUCAUUGUGUUGUAUUUUAGCUCUUAAACUUUUUAAGAGAUUAGAAUAAUUUGACACAUAGAAGAUCUAAACCACUGAAGAGGCUCUGAAGCAGAUAAAAGUAGAAAGAAAAUAAAAAACUAAUUAGUUACAAACUAAGCUUAACCACAAUUCAUUUAAACGAUACUAUUUACUCUUCACAUGAUUUUGAGCAAACCAGCCACAAAAGAUAUUUCAGGGAGACCAAGCUGGAAGGAUCACUUGAGGCCAGGAGUUUGAGACCAGCCUGGGCAAUGUAGUAAGACCUCCAUCUCUACAAAAACAAUAAAUUAGCUGGGCAUGGUGGUGUGCACC